GAGUGGCGGCAGGCCUACCAUGCAAGUCGGACGGUAGCACAGAGGACCUUGCUCCUUGGGUGACGAGUGGCGCACGGGUGAGUAGUGUGUGGGGAUCUGCCCGAUAGAGGGGGAUAACCACUGGAAACGGUGGCUAAUACCGCAUAACCUCGCAAGACCAAAGAGGGGGACCUUCGGGCCUCUCACUAUCGGAUGAACCCAGAUGGGAUUAGCUAGUAGGCGGGGUAAUGGCCCACCUAGGCGACGGGAUCCCUAGCUGGUCUGAGAGGAUGACCAGCCACACUGGAACUGAGACACGGUCCAGACUCCUACGGGAGGCAGCAGUGGGGAAUAUUGCACAAUGGGCGCAAGCCUGAUGCAGCCAUGCCGCGUGUAUGAAGAAGGCCUUCGGGUUGUAAAGUACUUUCAGCGGGGAGGAAGGCGGUGCGGUUAAUAACCGCGUCGAUUGACGUACCCGCAGAGA
rnacentral:rRNA from 1 species